GCCGCAGGGGGAGCUGGCUGUUGUGUCUCUGCUCCCCCUCCCCAGCGCACUACAAAGAGACCGGGGCCGGAAUAUGACGCCAUAUUCCGGCCCCCAGCCUCACUGUGCGGCGCGCAGGGGAGGGGGAGCAGAGACACAACAGCCAGCUCC